rnacentral:rRNA from 1 species
AUUGAACGCUGGCGGCAGGCCUAACACAUGCAAGUCGAACGAGUGGCGGACGGGUGAGUAAUGUCUGGGAAACUGCCCGAUGGAGGGGGAUAACUACUGGAAACGGUUGCUAAUACCGCAUACUAUCUGAUCGGCCCAGAUGGGAUUAGCUUGUUGGUGGGGUAACGGCUCACCAAGGCGACGAUCCCUAGCUGGUUUGAGAGGAUGACCAGCCACACUGGAACUGAGACACGGUCCAGACUCCUACGGGAGGCAGCAGUGGGGAAUAUUGGACAAUGGGCGAAAGCCUGAUGCAGCCAUGCCGCGUGUAUGAAGAAGGCCUGCGGGUUGUAAAGUACUUUCGGCGGAGAAGCGUUACCCGCAGAAGAAGCACCGGCUAACUCCGUGCCAGCAGCCGCGGUAAUUC